rnacentral:lncRNA from 1 species
UCCGGUGCAUGACCUCAGAUUUUUUCUUUCAUCGAUCGAUGCUUUGGAUCGAUGGCCAGACGGUGCUCCAUAACUUCCGUGUCAAUUUUCGGCAUGUCCGCUGGAACCCAGGUGAAAACGUCCGCAUUCUUUCGUAGAAAAUCGAUGAGAUGCAUCCGCACCUCUUCCCCCAGGUUGGAAUCGAUCUUCACCACAUACUCCGCAUUCCCGUCAUUCAAAAGGAUUGAAACCAGAUCUUCGAUUGGGCUGCCCCUCUCCUCAGCGAGGUCAUCGCGGGCGUCCAGCCCAUCAACUGGAUAGAGGUCGGAUUGGUCAUUUCUUUGCAAGGCUAUGUUGUAACAGUGUCUAGCCAGGGCUUGGUCUCCCCUGACCUCUCCAACCCCCUGGCUGGUAGGAAUUUCAAUUUCAAAUGGUAGGUUGACACGACGGCCCGAAGAGCGUUGAGGCCAGGUCAGCCGAGGAUUGCGUUGUAGGCUGAUAGUGCCUUCACCACUAGAAAAUUCACCGGAGCUCUGGAUUGUCUUGGGUAUCGACCCACAGCUACAGUCAAAGUUAUUGCUCCCUCCAUCAGGACAGCAUCGCCGAUGAACCCUACCAGAGGGGAGUUAAUUGGUCUCAAAUGACUGUCAAGGACGAACAUUUUUGAGAAGACGUCGUAGAACAAAAUAUCGGCCGAACUUCCAUUGUCGACAAGAAUGCGGCGGACAUCGUAAUUAGCUAUAUUCAAAGAAACUACGACUGGCGUUGUUAUGAGGAAAUUGAACUUCCUGAGUAUCUUCUUUCAGUAAAGGUUAUGGACUCCUCAAUCUUUUGUCGCUUGGGAGGUACGGUCGAUAUGUCGGUUGCUUCCUGCCGGGAUUCUCCUGAGAUGGUGUUGGUGAAAUCCGUCGGAAGCCGAUCGUCUGACCGUCCCACGCCAACGGCCGUAGCCGGAGGAGGAGGAGAAGGCUGGAAAACUGGAAGUGAGGCCGGAGCUUGAGAUCUGGCUGCGGAGGCCGUAGAUCGCUGCGUGGAUGCUCUACGGGGAGGCAUCGGGCGAAAAUAUAGUGGAGGAAGG